rnacentral:rRNA from 1 species
AACGAACGCUGGCGGCGCGCCUAAUACAUGCAAGUCGAGCGAGAAGACGUAGCAAUACGUUUGUAAAGCGGCGAACGGGUGAGGAAUACAUGGGUAACCUACCCUCGAAUGGGGAAUAACUAGCCGAAAGGUUAGCUAAUACCGCGUACGCUCCUUGGACUUCGGUUCAGGGAGGAAAGCGAUGCCGAGGGUAUCGCGCUCUUGGAUGGGCUCAUGUCCUAUCAGCUUGUUGGGAGGUAACGGCUCACCAAGGCUUCGACGGGUAGCUGGUCUGAGAGGACGAUCAGCCACACUGGCACUGCGACACGGGCCAGACUCCUACGGGAGGCAGCAGUAAGGAAUAUUGCGCAAUGGGCGAAAGCCUGACGCAGCGACGCCGCGUGGGGGA